UAAAAAAAUAAGUCACUAGGUGCAAGUUUGACAGUUUGGCGCAAAAGAAUGACAGAUGUAAACAAACCACUUUUUCUUUUCAUUUCUUCACCGAAUCUUCUGAUUUUUUAGUUUAUUACUUUGGAUGUGAAAUUCUGUUUUACAAAUUAAUUCUUACAGCAAGGCAAGGCGUUUAUUUAUAGAUUACAAACAUUUCAGCAGAAGGAACCACAUAUCUAAAGCUGAACAUUGUGAUUGAGCAAUCUGCCUCUUUUAACAUUAAAGCAUUGAGCAUGCAUAACAAUCAGCUGAUUUCAAACUAACGUUUACAUGGUAGAGUAAAGGGAACCUUCAAAUACUAACCAAAUUUAAUAUUCUGCUGCUUCAAGUUAAGAACAAGGAAAGAACAACAUCAGUUUGCCCUUUUCUGCACUAAUGAUGAUGUGUCAUCAACACACUCUUAAUGGACUUAACCAAAAGAAGUAAUUUAUUCUUCUCAACUGGUGUGUGGAGUUAUAUAUCUUAUUAUUAUUAUAGAGAUGUGGUAUUACAUAAUGUUUGAUUCAACAGUUGCUGUUUGUUAAUAUGUUUAAUUAGAUGUUUGCAUAGAAGCAUGCUGUUCAAUUGUACAUUUUUAUUGUAAUUUUAUUGAAAGGUUUUGUAAGCUUCAUAACAGUUAUAACCUUUAUAUUAACUUGUAAGUGUAAAAUAUUUGGUAUAUUUUUUAAGUAUGUUUUGCUGUUUUAAUGAAUAAACAAUCAUUAAUGGUGUGAAAA